UCCGGUAUGGUGUAACGGUCAACAUUACCGCUUUUCACGAAUGUUACGUAAUCGUGCGCUGUGGUGACCGCGGUAGCUCGGGGUUCGAUUCCCCGUACCGGAA